UACGGGGGGGGCAAGCGUUUGUUCGGAAUUACUGGGCGUAAAGGGCUCGUAGGCGGCCAACUAAGUCAGACGUGAAAAUCCCCUCGGCUUAACCGGGGAACUGCGUCUGAUACUGGAUGGCUUGAGAUUGGGAGAGGGAUGCGGAAUUCCAGGUGUAGCGGUGAAAUGCGUAGAUAUCUGGAGGAACACCGGUGGCGAAGGCGGCACUCGU
rnacentral:rRNA from 1 species